CUACGGGACGCUCCAACUGGGAAUCUUGCGCAAUGGGCGAAAGCCUGACGCAGCGACACCGCGUGGAGGAUGAAGGCCUUCGGGUUGUAAACUCCUUUUAUAUGGGAAUAAGAUCCGAUGUUGCGUCGGAUUUGAAGGUACCAUACGAAUAAGCACCUGCUAACUACGUGCCAGAAGCCUCGGUAAUACGUAGGGUGCAAGCGUUAUCCGGAAUUAUUGGGCGUAAAGCGUAUCGUAGGCGGCUUGAUAAGUGCAUGGUGAAAUCUUUCGGCUCAACCGAAAAAUUGCUGUGCAUACUAUCUCGCUAGAGAUCGCUAGAGGAUGCUGGAAUUCUCGGUGGAGGGGUGAAAUCCGUUGAUAUCGAGAAGAACACCAAGGGCGAAGGCAAGCAUCUGGAGCGUUUCUGACGCUGAUGAACGAAAGCUAGGGUAGCAAAAGGGAUUAGAUACCCCCGUAGUC
rnacentral:rRNA from 1 species